rnacentral:rRNA from 1 species
AUGAACGCUAGCGAUAGGCUUAACACAUGCAAGUCGAGGGGCAGCAUGGUCUUAGCUUGCUAAGGCUGAUGGCGACCGGCGCACGGGUGCGUAACGCGUAUGCAACUUGCCUCACAGAGGGGGAUAACCCGUCGAAAGACGGACUAAUACCGCGUACACUCUAUGUUGGGCAUCCAAUGUAGAGGAAAUGAAAUUCGCUGUGAGAUAGGCAUGCGUCCCAUUAGCUAGUUGGUGAGGUAACGGCUCACCAAGGCGACGAUGGGUAGGGGAACUGAGAGGUUGAACCCCCACACUGGUACUGAGACACGGACCAGACUCCUACGGGAGGCAGCAGUGAGGAAUAUUGAUCAAUGGGCGAGAGCCUGAACCAGCCAAGUCGCGUGAAGGAUGACUGUCUUAUGGAUUGUAAACUUCUUUUAUACGGGAAUAACAAGAGUCACGUGUGGCUCCCUGCAUGUACCGUAUGAAUAAGCAUCGGCUAACUCCGUG